GAUGAUAAAAUCAUCGUUCGUGCGAUGUAGGCGACGUGGAAAUUAACCGUUCGUAGUCGUUGUACAUACUCGUAGUAACGUGUGUAUCAUAGAAACUGAAAUUUCUUACAUUGCUUGGAACGAGACGCCUCGAACGUUCGAGAUGCUCGACGGAAUCGAGGCUGUCGCGUGAAAUAUCUCCGUCGUUUUCCGAAAGAUUUCGAGCGAACUUGUACAGAGUGGUUUCUGAUAAAAUAUUUAAAUGAAAAUUUAUGUAAAAAUUCGAUAAAAGUUUUCGAGUGGUGUUUUCCUAGAAUUUGACUUUCUAUUCGAAAAGUAUAGCCACCUUCUCUACGUAGCACCGCGUGUCUUUUUCAUACGCGUUGACCGUUGUAUUUAUCGUGUGUGCGUGUGCGUGCAAACACUAGAAUAAGAUGUAUAGAAUCGAUAUUUCAUCGGUCGUCACUCUGUCUAAUUUCUACGUUUCUCACUCCGAUUUCCAUUCAGCUGUGCGAUUAAAUCUCUUCUUUCGGGUAAAAGUUACGACAACUUCAACGAUAACAAGAUACACGAAAAUAUCUGCUAAUUCGAGAAGAUUUAAAUUUAAAGUUAAAAAAGUGCCGAAAGACGGAACACGCGAACGAGCGUUCGAGUAUCCUCGUUCGAACCGCGUUCGCGCUCGAAAUUCUCUCGGUUGACCACGCAUCGGAAUCAAUCGCAUUCCCGCCGCCAGAUCUACUCUCCAAACCGAAGAAAGUGCCAACCAAUUUGUAAAUACGGUAUCGUCUUGCCGGAGUCGUGUAGCAGAGCGAAUGGUAAUUCUCUAUCGCGUAACGAGCGUUCCGUUGUGUCGCGUCUGUUUUUUCCGAUUCGGUUCGCGAUCCAGUGCUCGCAUCCGAGAAAAGCCUGUACGCGCGAUAAUUUUUGUUCCGAGCGACGUAUUCUAUCGCGCGAAAAUCACGUCCAUCGUGUCCUCGACAUUGCGAUUACGACGAUCGAAUCGUCGUUCGUAUAGCUGAUUACGAUCGAGCGUCACCGAGUACAAAUUCCAUUGUCCUGUCCGAUGUAUAUGCUCGCGAGAGACAAUUCGAAGGAAAAAAAGGUCUGAUCGUGUAAAUUCGUUUCGACGUUCUUUUUCUCUCAUUCUACUUUAGGAAAUCGUUUAUUCGUUUAUUUUUUUACUCGUUAUAGGAUUUCACUCGUAUUUUUUAUAUCUAUGUAUGUUUUUCCUAUUGAAAACGUAUUUUAAGAGUAGAAGUUACGCUCUUAUCGAGAGAGGACUCUUCGAACCUGCGCGAGCAAAACAGAUCGUGACUUGUUUCUUCAAGAAGAGAAAAAAAAAAAGAAAAAAAGGAAGAAAGGAAAAAAGGGAAGCGUACAACCGUCAUUCGUCGCUAAAGUCUUCCCAAAAGAAAAAGAAGAAAAAAAAAAGAGAAAGAAGAUAAGAAAGUAUAGUACAUUUAGAGCAGUACAAACGAGAUGACAGAGCAAACUAAUUUCAAAAUACGAUUAUAUCGAACGAAAAGUUUAAAAAAAAAAAAGAAAAGAAAAUUAAAGAAGUCGUGAUCCGUAAGUGCAAGGUCCACGUCUAUAUAGUAUUUUUAUUAUAAUAAGCGAUCGAAAGUGUAAAUGCCGAUUAUAUAAAGGGGUAAAAAGGAAGAGAUAAAGAAAAGAUAAGUAGAAGGUUCUAUUUCUCCCAAACAAAUGUUUUAUAUAAGCUAUUUUUAGUAAACGUUUAGCGCACCCGUUCCGAUGGGUAGUCAAUGCGAGAACUCGCCGUGUUUAAAGUUCUAAUUGCCUCGGAAUGUUCUUCGUUCUCUCGAUAUCGUAGAUCCGCGAAAGUAUAGAUGUUACGCGAGCGAAGAGAUAAGAAAGAAGAAAGAAAAUGAAGAUAACCGACGUCUAUGUGCUUCUGAAAAAUAUCGUCUAGCGCCCAUCGAAAUGAAUUUCUCUCAAAGUGUUCGACUUUCGUUGCAGGAUCGACGACGCGUUAAAUCGAAUAAUUACAGCGAUCUAUAAAUCGAUCGUCGUCGAUGGAACAAAGAGCUUCAGGUAGUUGCCAAGAAUCCUGCGACGUUCGAGGACUCGUAAGAUUCGUAAAGAACGUCUGUCCGGUGAUUUCUUACAACUUUUCUAACACGAUCCGAGUGGAUGUGUUUUUAUACUUGUAUUUUGCGCGUUGAUAGAAAAGAACCAGUUAGUCGCCUUUCUUUAUCCAUUAAGAACACGAAAAAUUGUUUGUGGCCAUAUCUGACCAUCGAUUUCUUUCGAUCGCCGUUAAAUCAUUACCAAAGAUAGAGAACAUUUUGUUCGAUCGCGUCCUGAGAAAUUUAUCCUCGACGGAUUCCAAUUAAAAGUCGAAACUUUUCUCGGCUAAAUCUUCUUCCGAGUCGCGAACGAGCGCGUAGACGAUUUCUAUUAUUACAAACGAGUUCUAUAACGCGUAACUUUCUGAAUUUUUUACCAAUCUUCGAUCGACGUAACGAAAGAGUUUCUUCGUAGCUUGUAUAACGAUUCACGAGGUUCUAUAUGUCCGAGCGAGUCGCGAUCCCGUCGGCGUGUUACUUCUAUUAUAAUACUACAAAUUAUCUUCGCGUAACGCGAGUUGCAAAAAGAGAAAAACAGGAUGGAAGGGUGAUAAAGAGGAAUACGCGCCUUGUCGUUCCAGCCUAGUUGAGCGAAUGACGAAAAGGGCAGCGUAGCUACGUCUUUCGUUUAUCGCAUCGAGUAUUUGUUUUACCGUUAUAUGAGAUUUUUCGCGAAUACUUUGCCAACCAAAUGUCCAUUACGUCCGAACAAUCGAGUAUCGAUCGAGGAAAGAUCUCGUAUCGUACAAGGAUGAUCGCUAGUGCGCGCAAUUUUGAUCUCGCAGAAACGAAGGAAAUCGUAAAGGUGAUUAUUCAAAUAGAUCUCGCAAAUGUCACGAUCGUGCUUUCGUUUCUUACGAUUUAAUAUUUUUCUUUUCAUUAGCAACACCACCGUUUCACGGAACUUUCAACUGGUUUUUUGUUCAAUUUUUCCUAUCUGUUACUUAUUCUCGUUACGCCGCGUUUCAUUUUCAAUGAGAAUGGGAAAUCGAGACCACGAAAUCGAGAAUCAUCGUUUCCAGAUCGACGAACAAAUCAUCUAUAUAUAUAUACACAUUUUACUUUACGUAAAAGGAAACUGUGUUGCCAAUCGAAACUAAAAAUAUUAAUGUACCUUUGUCAAGAUAUUUUACGCUUACGUUUUCUUCUUUUUCGCGCUUGCGGUUUAGAACUACUGUAAUUAAUCGUAUAUCGAAGAGGCAACUGCCUUUUAUAUUCGUUGUAAGAGCGAGUUCACAGGCUACUAAAAAACGUUAAAGAGAAAACUUUGCUUUUUAGCGCACAAUACAUAGAGAUUUAGCCGGAAUAAGAAGUUUGUUGCUAAUUUAUCGACUAGUUUGUCAUCGAUAAUUCCGUAAUUCGAUAUUUUUCUGCCGGAAUACCUGCAUUUCAUCAAGGAAUAUCGACAUUUUACCCGCUGUCUUCGAUAAAUACGGUGAAAAACGAUCGGCAAUUUUGCAAGAUUUUUAAGCUGUUUCGACGAUAUUUUAUUACGAACGAAUUCUCGAAUUUAUACGCAACUGUUAUACUCGUGAUCCUUCUUACCCGUUAUAAAUUAUGUGAUAAUCGACAAUACCUUUUCUAAGGUAAUAAUUAAAGCGGUAAAUAGUAUUAGUAAUUAAUUAUUAAUAGCGUAACUAUCGUAUUAAUACGUUGUUCUAAACGAUAAAUUUGAUAAAUUCGAUGAAUUUAAUUAAAUUUAAAUACCGAACAAAGAGGAGAAAGAUCGCACGGCUCUGAUUCGAGAAUUCGAUUGCCGAUACGUGUGUUUGAUUUUAUGCAAGUACGGAGUGUCAUACUCGUUUAGUCGACGGUACCUUUACCACGUAGAGAAAUAUAUAUAUAUACUAGCGAUAUAUUUUGUUCGAUCAUAUAUUACAGUUACCAUGUACAUACUUACUUUUAUUAUGCUUAUUUUAUCGCCAUUUAUGUAUCUUGAAUUUUUUGUAAUAAUUUACACCAACGUUACUUCGGUGCAACCGAAUAGCUUUCGAUCGGCAAGAUCGUACAAAGUACGCGAUCGUUGGUUAAUUUACAAUUACGAUCGUCGAGUAAGAUAUACGUAUAAAAUAUACAACGCGUUUAAAUGAGAAUUUCCUCGUUCUUAUCGAUAAUCGUGCGUUUACGUUUGUCAAGAUUCUGUUCGUACGAGCUACACUGCAAAGUGUAAUCAUCGCGAGAACUAAAAGUCAUGGAUCCAAGCACGUAUACGUAUUAUCCCGUUGUCUCGCAAUGGACACUCCUUCGGUAAAUCCUGAAUAUUUCUCGUUUCUUUCGACGAACUAUCGAAUCGAGACGAUAUCCGUGACUCUUAGUCGUAGAUCGUCGCGACAAGGAUACGCGCGAGCCGAACGUCGUUCGAAAAAGUAUCUCCGAAUUGUACGAUUUCGUGAAACUCGUAGCUUAUUAUACUCAGUCUAUGUAUAUGUAUAGUAUGUAUACGUACGCGUACGCAACGCGCGUCGAACGAAACUGCGAUGAUCUUCGACGGGCGAGAAUGCCUGCGAAACCGACCAAAAAAAGUGAAAAAAGAAAAAGAAAGACGAAAGAAGAAAAAAAGGAAUGGAAAGAAAAGAGAAUCGCGAAGCAGAGGGGAUAAGAAAAGAAAAA